rnacentral:rRNA from 1 species
AUUGAACGCUGGCGGCAGGCCUAACACAUGCAAGUCGAGCGGCAGCGGGAAAGUAGCUUGCUACUUUUGCCGGCGAGCGGCGGACGGGUGAGUAAUGCCUGGGAAAUUGCCCAGUCGAGGGGGAUAACAGUUGGAAACGACUGCUAAUACCGCAUACGCCCUACGGGGGAAAGCAGGGGACCUUCGGGCCUUGCGCGACUGGAUAUGCCCAGGUGGGAUUAGCUAGUUGGUGAGGUAAUGGCUCACCAAGGCGACGAUCCCUAGCUGGUCUGAGAGGAUGAUGAGCCACACUGGAACUGAGACACGGUCCAGACUCCUACGGGAGGCAGCAGUGGGGAAUAUUGCACAAUGGGGGAAACCCUGAUGCAGCCAUGCCGCGUGUGUGAAGAAGGCCUUCGGGUUGUAAAGCACUUUCAGCGAGGAGGAAAGGUUGAUGCCUAAUACGUAUCAACUGUGACGUUACUCGCAGAAGAAGCACCGGCUAACUCCGUGCCAGCCGCCGUAGUAA